rnacentral:tRNA from 1 species
UCUCUGGUGGUCCAGUGGCUGAGACUCUGUGCUCCCAAUGCAGGGCACCCGGGUUCAAUCCCUGGACAGGGAA